rnacentral:rRNA from 1 species
GACAGAGGGUGCAAACGUUGUUCGGAAUUACUGGGCGUAAAGCGCGUGUAGGCUGCUCGGAAAAUCGGGUGUGAAAGCCCUGGGCUCAACCCAGGAAGUGCACUCGAAACUCCCGAGCUGGAGUCCCGGAGAGGAAGGCGGAAUUCUCGGUGUAGAGGUGAAAUUCGUAGAUAUCGAGAGGAACAUCUGUGGCGAAGGCGGCCUUCUGGACGGUGACUGACGCUGAGACGCGAAAGCGUGGGGAGCAAACAGG